ensembl:snRNA U6 U6 spliceosomal RNA
AUCUUCCUUCGACAGCACAUAUACUAAAAUUGGAACCAUACAGAGAAGAUUAGCAUGGCCCCUGUGCAAGGAUGACAGGAAAAUUCUGAAGCAGUUCCCCCGGGGU